GACCCCGUAGCUCAGUUGGAUAGAGCGAUGGAUUCCUAAUCCAUAGGUCACAGGUUCAAUUCCUGUCGGGGUCA
rnacentral:tRNA from 3 species